CCCCUUUCCCACCCAGGUGUGUUCUCGCUAUUGUUCCAUCUGCAACUGAGCACCUUUUCUGCAGAAAGUAAAGACAGCCUUGCUAAGAGAUCAUUUGUCUCCAAGCUGACUUUUCUUUGCAGCACCGAUUAUCUAUUUCUAACAAUUUUGGGGGCUCGUCCAGGAUUACAGUCUCCUCUAGGGUGGGUCUCCAGUCCUCUCUUGUGAGAAGGCAUGCCCCACUACCUCGUUUUUGGCAGCCUCAGGGGUGAGGAACCGAGAUCCACCCAGUGUGAUGAAUAAACUGGGACUCUCAGCAACGUGGAAAGAAACUGGCUAGCAACGUAGGGUAAAGGAUCCUCACAUACUGCGGUAAUGACUCUGCACAGACCAAGGAAGGAGAAACCAUGGGAGCUGAGGCGUAUUGCUACAUUUGGGGCAAUGCGUACAUAUGUGGUUUCGUUAGCUCCAGCGGGGGCUAAUCCUCUGACAGAGCCACCUCUCACACGAAACACUGAAUGGAGGCGAUCCCGAGAUGGAUGGAGCAGCAGCAGCGCAGGUUGCUGCAGGUGUGGCUACAAGGAGAAGAUAGCUGUCUGCAAACUGUCCUCAUCAGACACUAGAUCUGCUGGUAUCUUGAUCUUGGACUUGGAAGCCUCCAGAUCUGUGAGAAAUAAAUGUUUGUUGUUUAAGCCACCCAAUAUAUGGUAUUCUGUUGUAGCAGCCUGAACUGACUAAGACAGCAAAAUUAAAAAGAUUAAUGAUAGUCUUUACAACGGCCUAAAAGGCCU
rnacentral:lncRNA from 1 species